UUGCCUGCGGCGUGCUAUACAUGCAGUCGAGCGCGGGAAGCGAGCGGAUCCCCUUCGGGGGUGAAGCUCGUGGAACGAGCGGCGGACGGGUGAGUAACACGUGGGCAACCUACCUGUAAGAUCGGAAUAACCCCGGGAAACCGGGGCUAAUGCCGGGUAAUACUUUUCUUCGCAUGAAGGAAAGUUGAAAGAUGGCCUCUGGCUAUCACUUACAGAUGGGCCCGCGGCGCAUUAGCUAGUUGGUGAGGUAACGGCUCACCAAGGCGACGAUGCGUAGCCGACCUGAGAGGGUGAUCGGCCACACUGGGACUGAGACACGGCCCAGACUCCUACGGGAGGCAGCAGUAGGGAAUCUUCCGCAAUGGACGAAAGUCUGACGGAGCAACGCCGCGUGAACGAUGAAGGUCUUCGGAUCGUAAAGUUCUGUUGUUAGGGAAGAACAAGUGCCGUGCGAAUAGAGCGGCACCUUGACGGUACCUAACGAGGAAGCCCCGGCUAACUACGUGCCAGCAGCCGCGGUAAUACGUAGGGGGCAAGCGUUGUCCGGAAUUAUUGGGCGUAAAGCGCGCGCAGGCGGUUCCUUAAGUCUGAUGUGAAAGCCCACGGCUCAACCGUGGAGGGUCAUUGGAAACUGGGGAACUUGAGGACAGAAGAGGAGAGUGGAAUUCCACGUGUAGCGGUGAAAUGCGUAGAUAUGUGGAGGAACACCAGUGGCGAAGGCGACUCUCUGGUCUGUUUCUGACGCUGAGGUGCGAAAGCGUGGGUAGCAAACAGGAUUAGAUACCCUGGUAGUCCACGCCGUAAACGAUGAGUGCUAGGUGUUAGGGGCUUCCACCCCUUAGUGCUGAAGUUAACGCAUUAAGCACUCCGCCUGGGGAGUACGGCCGCAAGGCUGAACUCAAAGGAAUUGACGGGGGCCCGCACAAGCGGUGGA
rnacentral:rRNA from 1 species